rnacentral:rRNA from 1 species
UGAGUAACACGUAUGCAACCUGCCUGCCACAGCCGGAUAAUCGGGAGAAAUUCCGUCUAAUACGGCAUAAUGCAUCGACGGGACAUCCUGUUGGUGCCAAAGGUUGAUUCCGGUGGCGGAUGGGCAUGCGUCGCAUUAGUUAGUUGGCGGUGUAACGGACCACCAAGACGACGAUGCGUAGGGGUUCUGAGAGGAAGGUCCCCCGCACUGGUACUGAGACACGGACCAGACUCCUACGGAAGGCAGCAG